AGAUGGGAGCUUGCUCCCUGAUGUUAGCGGCGGACGGGUGAGUAACACGUGGGUAACCUGCCUGUAAGACUGGGAUAACUCCGGGAAACCGGGGCUAAUACCGGAUGGUUGUCUGAACCGCAUGGUUCAGACAUAAAAGGUGGCUUCGGCUACCACUUACAGAUGGACCCGCGGCGCAUUAGCUAGUUGGUGAGGUAACGGCUCACCAAGGCGACGAUGCGUAGCCGACCUGAGAGGGUGAUCGGCCACACUGGGACUGAGACACGGCCCAGACUCCUACGGGAGGCAGCAGUAGGGAAUCUUCCGCAAUGGACGAAAGUCUGACGGAGCAACGCCGCGUGAGUGAUGAAGGUUUUCGGAUCGUAAAGCUCUGUUGUUAGGGAAGAACAAGUGCCGUUCAAAUAGGGCGGCACCUUGACGGUACCUAACCAGAAAGCCACGGCUAACUACGUGCCAGCAGCCGCGGUAAUACGUAGGUGGCAAGCGUUGUCCGGAAUUAUUGGGCGUAAAGGGCUCGCAGGCGGUUUCUUAAGUCUGAUGUGAAAGCCCCCGGCUCAACCGGGGAGGGUCAUUGGAAACUGGGGAACUUGAGUGCAGAAGAGGAGAGUGGAAUUCCACGUGUAGCGGUGAAAUGCGUAGAGAUGUGGAGGAACACCAGUGGCGAAGGCGACUCUCUGGUCUGUAACUGACGCUG
rnacentral:rRNA from 1 species